rnacentral:lncRNA from 1 species
GAAAUGGGUUAUUGGCAGAUGAGACACCAUCUUCUCCCUCUUCAUCAUGGAAGGAAGCUCUUAAAAAUCCAGACAUCCAACAAGAGACCAAUAGGACACGCUGAUGUUUUAUGAAUGGGGCCAGGACCAGCCUGAGUGUGGAGCCUCAUGGGCUGAGUUUCCCCUGGAUUCAGAGCCCUGAGGUUGAGUUAUCUACUGGUCAGCUGGAUCAGUUCAGCCGCUGUAAAGAGACAGUGCCCGGCCACCCAUACAGCAUUCCUUUGUGGCAGACAAGGGACUGGUGAAAUGCAACAUAGAUGGUCUAAGGACCCUGUGCAAUGGAAACUCCAAUUGAAAUUGUACAUAACCACUAACAUUCUACCUAUUCAAGGGGGCUGAAGAUGGAGUGUAAGAAAAAGCUCCAAAGCCAGAGCGCUGUUGCAGCCUCGGCCUCAUUUUCCAACAGGUACACUGGAGUUAUAAAUACAUGCACGGGCCACAGGGAUGGUGCAGG